rnacentral:rRNA from 1 species
GACGAGCCACACGAACGUUAUUCGGAAUUACUGGGCUUAAAGGGUGCGUAGGCGGCGCGGAAAGUUGGGUGUGAAAUCCCUCGGCUCAACCGAGGAACUGCGCCCAAAAACUGCCGUGCUCGAGGAAGAUAGAGGUAAGCGGAACUUACGGUGGAGCGGUGAAAUGCGUUGAUAUCGUAAGGAACACCUGUGGCGAAAGCGGCUUACUGGGUCUUUUCUGACGCUGAUGCACGAAAGCUAGGGGAGCAAACGGGAUUAG